GAUGAACGCUAGCUACAGGCUUAACACAUGCAAGUCGAGGGGCAGCAUGAACUUAGCUUGCUAAGUUUGAUGGCGACCGGCGCACGGGUGAGUAACACGUAUCCAACCUGCCGAUGACUCGGGGAUAGCCUUUCGAAAGAAAGAUUAAUACCCGAUGGCAUAGUUCUUCCGCAUGGUAGGACUAUUAAAGAAUUUCGGUCAUCGAUGGGGAUGCGUUCCAGUAGCUUGUUGGCGGGGUAACGGCCCACCAAGGCAGCGAUGGAUAGGGGUUCUGAGAGGAAGGUCCCCCACAUUGGAACUGAGACACGGUCCAA
rnacentral:rRNA from 1 species